GAUGAACGCUGGCGGCGUGCUUAACACAUGCAAGUCGAACGAACCUUCGGGUUAGUGGCGGACGGGUGAGUAACGCGUGAGAAUCUGCCCUCAGGAGGGGGAUAACGGCUGGAAACGGCCGCUAAUACCCCAUAUGCCGAGAGGUGAAAUGAAUUUCGCCUGAGGAUGAGCUCGCGUCUGAUUAGCUUGUUGGUGGGGUAAUGGCCUACCAAGGCGACGAUCAGUAGCUGGUCUGAGAGGAUGAUCAGCCACACUGGGACUGAGACACGGCCCAGACUCCUACGGGAGGCAGCAGUGGGGAAUUUUCCGCAAUGGGCGAAAGCCUGACGGAGCAACGCCGCGUGAGGGAUGAAGGCCUCUGGGCUGUAAACCUCUUUUAUCAAGGAAGAAGAUCUGACGGUACUUGAUGAAUAAGCCACGGCUAAUUCCGUG
rnacentral:rRNA from 1 species